rnacentral:rRNA from 1 species
AGUAACAUCCGGAAACGGGUGCUAAUACCGCAUAGUUUUUCUUUGGUCGCAUGAUCGGGAAAGGAAAGACGGCCUUUGUGCUGUCGCUUAUGGAUGGACCCGCGGCGUAUUAGUUAGUUGGUGAGGUAACGGCUCACCAAGACGAUGAUACGUAGCCGACCUGAGAGGGUGAUCGGCCACAUUGGGACUGAGACACGGCCCAAACUCCUACGGGAGGCAGCAGUAGGGAAUCUUCCGCAAUGGACGAAAGUCUGACGGAGCAACGCCGCGUGAGUGGAAGAAGGUUUUCGGAUCGUAAAACUCUGUUGUCAGAGAAGAACAAGUUGGAGAGUAACUGCUCCAGCCUUGACGGUAUCUGACCAGAAAGCCACGGCUAACUACGUGCCAGCCGCGGC